GGGGGAGUAACGCAGCGAAAGCUGUGCUAAUACCGCAUACGAUCUACGGAUGAAAGCAGGGGAUCGCAAGACCUUGCGCGAAUGGAGCGGCCGAUGGCAGAUUAGGUAGUUGGUGAGGUAAAGGCUCACCAAGCCUUCGAUCUGUAGCUGGUCUGAGAGGACGACCAGCCACACUGGGACUGAGACACGGCCCAGACUCCUACGGGAGGCAGCAGGU
rnacentral:rRNA from 1 species